rnacentral:hammerhead_ribozyme from 1 species
AUCCAGCUGACGGGUCCCCAAUAGGACGAAACGCGCGUCCUGGAU